ACAAAACAGCGAAGAAUAACAAAAAAAUAAACGGAAAGUAAGUUUAAGGCUUUAUCCUUUGUCCUUGUUUAACAAAAUCGAUCUAAAUUGUUACGUUUUUCUAUCACUAAGUAAUGAUAAGUUAUUGUUAAUAAUUUUUUAUUUUUUGGUUGCUCAGAAUGCAGGAAAGAGCAUUUCCAGGUUUCAAAUUUGAAAAAUUUUCUGGAGAUUAUGCCCCCACACACAUGGCCUUCGGCCAUUGGUAUCCCCUCUAAUAAGUAUAAUGAUAAAUUACGGUUAAACUAAUAUUAUUUUUUACUUUUUGUGCAUUUUUUCCUUCUUUUAUUUCAAAUACAAGUAUAGUUAGCAUAAAUUUUAGAGCAAAUUUGGAUGCUCAGAAUUCAGGAAAUGGCAUUUCCGUGUUUCAAAUUUCAAAAAUUUUCUGGGGGAGUAAACCCCCACACAUGUGACAUUGGCAUCCUCCUCUAAUAAGUAGUGAUAAAUUAUGGUUAAUAUUUUUUUAAACUUUUUGUGGGUUUUUUCCUUCUUUUAUUUCAAAUACAAGUAUAGUUAGUAUACAUUUUGGAGCGCAUUUGGAUGCUCAGAAUGCAGGAAAUGGCAUUUCCGUGC